UGUGGGCAACUCAAUCUCAUAAGCUACUUUCCUAGCACGUCUCAGAAUUCUGUAAGGGCCAACAUAAUGAGUACUUAGCUUCCCUUUUUUGCUAAAUCUAUUCACCCCUUUCAUGGGUGAAUCUUCAGAUACACUAAAUCAUCAACUUCAAACUCAAGAUCUCUUUUUCUCACAUCUGGAUAUGAUUUCUGAUGACUCUGGUCUAUCUUCAAUCUUUCUCUAAUAAACUUGACUUUCU
rnacentral:lncRNA from 1 species